GUUCCCCUUUAUAUCAAAGGGGCCAAGAGGGAAGCAGGUGCGAUGCCUGCGCGGUCCCGCCGCCGUAAAUGGCCGCUUGCUCUCGUGCACGUAAGACGUGCGCCACUGGGAAACCGGGAAGGCUGGGAGAAGCCAUGGCCAUGAGCCGGAAGACCUGCAUGAGAU
rnacentral:ncRNA from 1 species